rnacentral:tRNA from 1 species
UGGCUCAGAUGGUAGAGCAUGGCUCUUGCAGCGCCAGGGUUGUGGGUAUGAUUCCCAC